UUUCAUUUAAGAAGACCAAAUCACGGUUCGUAUUUUAAUCUUAUUGAUUCAUUGAUCUGGAAAUGAUGAAGAACCAGAGAAAAGGACCUGAACUUAAUUCUAGAGAUUAAGAAAAUUAUUGCUGGUGAUCAGUUGGAGAAACUAAAAGUUUAUUUGAGGAAGAAUGGAUUGCGAUUAACGGGGAAUCUAAUUUGGUUACUGACCAUGUAAGUACAGGAUCAUAAAUGGUGGUGGAGAGCAGCAAGUAUCCGCUGUCUAGAUUUAACAUAGCAUCGUGGAGUGCCAGUGUCCUCCCUGUGGAACUAGAUUUAUGCAUUUCACUGGUGACUGUGGAUUUCCCCUUUGUACAAUCAGGAAAAGUGUGUUGAUAAAUGAAAGAAAUAGUGUCCAAGAGACGAAAAGAAGGAUUUUACCAGACGAAUUGUGGAUGAAAUUAGCUGCUCAACUUCAUAAUCAACUCCCAGCAGUCUGCACAAGACAACACAUUCAGAUUGGACAACGUACGCCUGCUUUCCUACCAAACCAAAGAUGGCUCACCGAGGUCUGCAUGAACACCACGAUGGCAUCUAGUAUUACCAAGCAACAUCAAGAUGGCAGUGUAGAAGUUGAGAACAAUUAAAAUAGAUGUUGUUUGGUAGUACUUGAUGCCAUGGAGGGCCUCAAUUCUCUUUCUCGAGGAUGCUUCACUGGUCCACCUUGGAGACCUAACACAGAAGCAAGAACCAAACAGAAGGAAAUGCGGAAGAGUACAGGACAUAGGUGAAUUUCUCAACCCAUGCUUGCAGUUAAGAGUGAAUUCCGCCAAGUCCAUGAUCAGUCACCUAUUAGGAGCAAUUAGGAGCAGCUGGUGCUGUGGAAGCUGUUGCACUGGUGCAGGUAAAUCCUGUUUAUCCACUUCUUUCCUUGGUUGAUGGACAGAAUUCACAUGAAAGUUCAGUGGAGUUUAGGUUUUAUCUUUUGCUAGAUUUUGUAUGCGCUUUUCUACUAAGUUCCUUUCACUUGAUAUCAAUUUUACAUCUAGGCAGUACGGACGGGUUGGUAAGCUCCGUAUGUUAGUUGUUUACAGAUACAAAUACUUUAUAUUGCUCUGCAAUAAUUACAUGCUUGAGGAAGGUUGCAGGGAUGAUAAGUUGAGAUGACUUACUGAAAUGGAUACAAACGUGCUGGUUCGCCCGAAGAAUUGUCUAAUUUAUGGCUUUGGUGGCCACAAUUCAUCAAUUUUACUCCCUUGCAAGCAGUAACUGGUGUUAGCUAGCAACUUCACCAUGGUCGUAAAAGAGGGAAGAAUUGGCAUUCAGCUUUCUUUGUCUUAGUUUCGGAUAUUGAGGUUUGAGGAAGAAGGGAACAUGUAAAAUAUUGUUUGGGGUGUUGUUGUUGAAGUUGAAGGUUCUCUACUUUGUUUUUCAAAUCCCCAGUUCCAUGUAUCCUUGAUUAGGUUCAAUUUUUUCCUGUAGCGAGAACCCGAAAAGGAAUUUGUGCAAAACAUUCUCAGAAAUUUGUAUAAGAAAUCAUCCCAUAUACUUCUAUUA